rnacentral:rRNA from 1 species
AGCGAACGCUGGCGGCAGGCCUAACACAUGCAAGUCGAACGAACCUUUCGGGGUUAGUGGCGGACGGGUGAGUAACACGUGGGAACGUGCCUUUAGGUUCGGAAUAACUCAGGGAAACUUGUGCUAAUACCGAAUGUGCCCUUCGGGGGAAAGAUUUAUCGCCUUUAGAGGGGCCCGCGUCUGUUUAGCUAGUUGGGUGAGGUCAUGGCUCACCAAGGCGACGGUCAGUAGCUGGGCUGAGAGGAUGAUCAGCCACAUUGGGACUGAGACACGGCCCAAACUCCUACGGGAGGCAGCAGUAGGGAAUCUUGCGCAAUGGGCGAAAGCCUGACGCAGCCAUGCCGCGUGAAUGAUGAAGGUCUUAGGAUUGUAAAAUUCUUUCACCGGGGACGAUAAUGACGGUACCCGGAGAAGAAGCCCCGGCUAACUUCGUG